AAAAAUAUCCUGGAUGGGGUUGCUUUAACAACAAACAUUUAUUUUCCACGGUUCUGGAGGCUGGGAGGUCCAAGAUUGAGGUGCCUGCAGAUUCUGUGUAUGGUGAGGGCCUGCUUUCCAGUUCACAGACAGCCAUAUUCUCACUGUGUUCUCACAGGGUUGAAGGGCAAGGGGCCUCUCGAGAGUCUCUUUUUACAAACUGUGCUUAUCCCAUUUAUGAGGGCCUCACCUUCAUGACCUAAUCACUUCCAAAAGCCCUACCUCUAAAUACCAUCACAUUGGGGAUUAGGUUUCAACACAUCAAUUUUGGGGGAGCCAUAGAGAUUCAGUCCAUAGCAACUACUAAUGUUAAUAAUAGCAGUUACCAUUUACUGAGUAGUUACAUAUGGUAGCCACUCUAUUUAGUGCUUUCCAUUUAAUCCUCACUGCCAUAGAAAAGAGAUAAGUAACAUUGUUAUUCCCAUUUUCAAAUUAGCAAUGUGAGUGUUUUAACCAUAAACUUGUCCGAGAUCAAGAGUUAGAAAAGAGAAGAGUCAGAAUUCCACGUGUGCCCCAUGACUUGAGAUUCUGCACUUUUAUUUGCAGGGUGAAACAUCUCACAGUGGAAGAGGAGCAUUCUGUGUUGAGAAUUUCCAUUGACGAAGCCAACUGAGUGGCCUGAUUCCCUUGGACCAGCAAUCUAGAGCUAGGGAAGAUGUUGCCCCAAGGAAGAGGCACAGCAGACACUUGGCUCUCCUCUUGGGUUUCUGCUUUCUCUGAGAAAACAGAAGUUUGAGGCCUCUAGAAGCACUGCAUUCCCUCCAAAGGGAGGUUGUAGAUACAUUAAUUAAUAUGAUUUUAAUUCAAAACUUCCUGAGGCAGAUAAUUCUAAAUGAUUAUCCCAAAAAUAUUUCCAACACCCUUCUUUUUACCACCCACUGGCCCCCAAAUCCUCAAUUUUCCAGUCUCCCUUGAGCUAAGUGUGGCCCUAUGACUCACUUCCAGCCAUGAAAACAAGUGCAAAUCUGUUAGGAGUAUGUUCUGGGGCAAUUUUUGCUCUCCUGAUGAAGACAAAGGCUGUUGAUCCACUGAACCCACCCAGACACUAUGUGGUUUCUUGAAUGUCCUACGUACAUUUUGAUGGAUUACCCAAGGACUAUCUGAUGAAGAAUAAUAGAGACAUAUAAAUACAUAUGGGCUACAUCUUGGCAAAAUAAAGUAAUCCUGAAGUAAAUUCUAAGGAUGUUCUGAAUUGACACCUCUUAAGCACAACCGAAUGUCCUGGUGGCUUUGCCUCCCACUGGGGCUUUUUGGCUCUUGUUUGGCCCCAGCGGCUGCUGCAGCUCUGUCUGAAUUCACACAGGAGCAACAUGAUGGUGCUCAGCCCUCGCCGAAGUGUCUUGCUGAAGAGUUGGGAGAUGCUUGGACUAUUCAGAUAGAAGCCAGCUGGAAGUACAGGGCAGUCAACACAAACCAGAGAGGCAAACUUUUGGCCAGUGAGACAUGGAAAGGGAGAAGAAAUACAUUCUUCUUUCUCCCCUAGAGUGAGGACCAACCUGAGUCCCAGUCACCUGGAAUCCCCUCAGACGAGCGUCCCUUGAGAUCCAGCACAUGGCAGCCAGCGUGCUGACGAUUCCUUCCUGCCUACUGGCUCCUUCUUAUUUCUGCCUCCGUGGAACUGUAUUCUCUAAUCAAUAUUAGCACAUACAUAUUGCCCCAGACUGUACCUCCUGGGAACCCAGGAUAAAGCACUAUCUAAACAUUUUGUCUUGGAAUUGUAAUAAACUUCAAAAGAAAAAUACAACUUGAAAGUUAAAUAUUUAUUGUGUGCACUUCUUUUCUUCAUGUUUACACCAAAUCAUAUAAAGGUCAACUACUUUCAGGACUCUGUGAAGUUUCCAUUGAAAUACAGUCCAAAUUUCUGCCAUCAGAAGUGUUCCCAUGGCUGGGCACACUGGUUCACAUCUUU
rnacentral:lncRNA from 1 species